rnacentral:rRNA from 1 species
AUUGAACGCUGGCGGCAGGCCUAACACAUGCAAGUCGAGCGGAUGACGGGAGCUUGCUCCUUGAUUCAGCGGCGGACGGGUGAGUAAUGCCUAGGAAUCUGCCUGGUAGUGGGGGACAACGUUCCGAAAGGAACGCUAAUACCGCAUACGUCCUACGGGAGAAAGCAGGGGACCUUCGGGCCUUGCGCUAUCAGAUGAGCCUAGGUCGGAUUAGCUAGUUGGUGAGGUAAUGGCUCACCAAGGCGACGAUCCGUAACUGGUCUGAGAGGAUGAUCAGUCACACUGGAACUGAGACACGGUCCAGACUCCUACGGGAGGCAGCAGUGGGGAAUAUUGGACAAUGGGCGAAAGCCUGAUCCAGCCAUGCCGCGUGUGUGAAGAAGGUCUUCGGAUUGUAAAGCACUUUAAGUUGGGAGGAAGGGCAGUAAGUUAAUACCUUGCUGUUUUGACGUUACCGACAGAAUAAGCACCGGCUAACUCUGCGCCAGCCGCCGCGGUAACAC